UUUAGGUUUUAAGAAACUAAUCAAAUUAUCAGAUUUAAGAAUUCAGAAUUUUCAAAGAAAAUUUGUCAAUGUCAAACCAAUGUUUAGAGAAGAAAUUAUUUACAUACACAUUCAAAUCUAAUGUAUGUGUAUUUACAAACCAUAACUAAAAGAUACAGAAGCACAGCUUUUAAAAUUUGGCUCAUACCUUACAGAUUUCCAAUUAAUUCUCUUAUUCAAGAUGGUUAUACCAAAAAAAACUUUAUUAGCUCAUAACUUGAGUUUUCUUCAUAUUGCCUAGCACUUUAGUUAAUAAUAAAAACACGGGAUCUUUUCAGUAAGUACAGUUUUUUCAUCACCUAUAUUUUUGGACACAGCAAUCUCUGAGAAGGCUACUGGUAAUAAAAUCCAGAAUUUGACAUCAUAUGGAUGGAUUUAUCAGCCUGGCAGAUUUUUCUACAUAAUAUAAACUUUAUAGCCACAUUUUUUCUUUUUAUUAAUCUUAAGAAGGGCAACAAAAAGUAGAAGAUAGAAAAGUAGAUUCACAAGAAAGCAUGGAUUCAAGAUGUGACAUAAUGUCAGUGUGUGAUUCUGGGCCAGUCACUUAAUUUCUCAGAGUUUUAGGCAAUUCUCUAACACUCUAAGUUGAAAAGGAGCUAAACUGUUAAAUAUUUCCUCACCUGAGAGUUACCUAAACCUGUGAAAUCUUAGGUCAAAUUCGUAUCCUUACUCAUCUUGCAGAUGAGAUUCUGAAGCAUAGGAAUAUAGCAGCAAAUUACCAGGUUAAAACCCUAUGAGAAUCAAAGAGUGUCAUAAUAUUUACCCAAAGAAACUUAUACAGAAAACUGGCUGAAUGGGUGGUAGGAUUUUCUCUAUUACUUAAGAAUUAAAUUUGGUGUCCCAAUAGUUGGAAGCACAGUCUUUACUAUACAUCUAUCCCUAACUUCUACUAGUCCUUGGGGCAAGUUAUAGUUCAUAGGUACAUUACUGGGUAUGAAAGGUUAAGGUAGUAGGGCUCCUCCAAGGACUAUUUGACUCAUUAGUGCCAUCUGGAGGCAGGAAUUAAAAUCCUCCCGAAUAAGAAGACCAGUUUGGAGGGAAGUGAUUUCAGGUUAGGCAAAAAAUUAACCCCUUGACUUCUUGCAUUUUUGGUUCUCAAACUCUGGCAGAACUCUUGGCCAUGGAAUCAGAUUGGCAUAAAUUUCUUAUUAGUCUCAGACCAGAGAAAAGCACAUCUUUACUCUUUUGAUUUUGCUUAGUCUGAGGCUAUCUUUGUUUUCUUAUCUAAAUACUUUGCCAAUUCUGCCCUAGAUUAAGCCAAUUCUCCCACUCCUUAAUUAACACUAAUCUUGCCAAGAGAAGAAUCUAGGAAUAUCCAUUAAGAUUAUACCAUUAGGAAGUUGUAUAUUGUUCUAUUUCUACAUUCAGUCUUUUGAUUGUAUAAUUUGGUCUCAAGCAGCUUUACCCAACUAGAAGGGAAUACCUUCUGCAAAUAGUGCUUACUAUACAUUCCAGGGGUCCUCAAACUACAGCCCGCGGCCAGAUGCAGCAGCUGAGGACGUUUAUCCCCCUCACCCAGGGCUAUGAAGUUUCUUUAUUUAAAGGUUCACAAAACAAAGUUUUUGUUUUUACUACAGUCCGGCCCUCCAACAGUCUGAGGGACAGUGAACUGGCCCCCUAUUUAAAAAGUUUGAAAUGCUAAUCACUUUACAAUUAUUAUCUCAUUUGAUCCUUAAAGCAAUCCUGUGAGGUAAGUACUAUUAUUAUUAUUCCUAUUUUACAGUUAAGGAAAAUUGAGUCACAGAGGUUAAAUGACUUGCUGAGAUUCAUACCACUAGUGUCUAAGAUCAGAUUUGAAUACAAAUUUUGACUCUAGGUCCAGUAUUCUAUCUAGCUUCCCUUGACAAUCCAUGUACACAAGAAGCUUACAAUCAAAUGUAGAAGUUUAUAGUUUAAUGGAUAUUGUUUCAUUUUAUUUUCAUAACAGCCCUGCAAAGUAAAUGUUUUUAUUAUCGCUAUUUUGCAGUAGAGAGUCAGAGCCAGUGUCUGAGGCUGGAUUGAAUUCUUCCUAACUUUAUGUUUCUGCUCCAACUCCAAAAGGGACAAAGAAUGUUUAAGGGAAACACUGGGAAUAAAGAAAAGAUGAGGAAAAAGAAUUCUAGAGAUGUAAAGAGAUUUGUCCAACAUCCCACAAGUAAUAAAUGGCAGAAAUGGAAUCUGAAAGCAAAUGAUUCCAAAUCUCUUGAUUUUUCCACUGUCUCUUAUCCCUAUAAAGUUGUUUAUGUAAAUCUGGACUACUGAUUUGUUAAGGUAAAAAUCAAAACUCAUUAAAAGAACAUGAGAAAAAUAUGGGUAGUAAUUUUAUCCUGAGUUUUUAACAAUUAAUUAAUAAUGUAAAAUGAGAAAGUCAAUAGAUGACAACAAUACUGAUGAUAACCACACAAAACUUUUA